UACGAAGGGGGCUAGCGUUGUUCGGAAUUACUGGGCGUAAAGCGCGUGUAGGCGGGUCUUUUAAGUCAGGGGUGAAAUGCCAAGGCUCAACCUUGGAACUGCCUUUGAUACUGGAGAUCUUGAGUCCGGGAGAGGUGAGUGGAACUGCGAGUGUAGAGGUGAAAUUCGUAGAUAUUCGCAAGAACACCAGUGGCGAAGGCGGCUCACUGGCCCGGAACUGACGCUGAGACGCGAAAAGCGUGGGGAGCAACAGGG
rnacentral:rRNA from 1 species